GACGAACGCUGGCGGCGUGCUUAACACAUGCAAGUCGAACGGUGAAGGGACCGGUUUUUGCUGGUUCUGGAUGAGUGGCGAACGGGUGAGUAACACGUGAGUAACCUGCCCCCUUCUUCUGGAUAACCGCAUGAAAGUGUGGCUAAUACGGGAUAUUCUGCGCCUGCUGCAUGGUGGGUGUGGGAAAGAUAUUGUUUCGGUGGGGGAUGAGCUCGCGGCCUAUCAGCUUGUUGGUGGGGUGAUGGCCUACCAAGGCGGUGACGGGUAGCCGGCCUGAGAGGGUGGACGGUCACACUGGGACUGAGACACGGCCCAGACUCCUACGGGAGGCAGCAGUGGGGAAUAUUGCACAAUGGGCGCAAGCCUGAUGCAGCGACGCCGCGUGAGGGAUGGAGGCCUUCGGGUUGUAAACCUCUUUCGCCAGUGAAGCAGGCCUGUCCCUUUUGUGGGUGGGUUGACGGUAGCUGGAUAAGAAGCGCCGGCUAACUACGUG
rnacentral:rRNA from 1 species